UACGUAGGGGGCUAGCGUUGUCCGGAAUCAUUGGGCGUAAAGCGCGCGUAGGCGGCCCGGUAAGUCCGCUGUGAAAGUCAAAGGCUCAACCUUUGAAUGUCAGCGGAUACUGCCAGGCUAGAGUCCGGAAGAGGCGAGUGGAACUCCUGGUGUAGCGGUGAAAUGCGUAGAUAUCGUAAGGAAGACCAGUGGCGAAGGCGGGUCUCUGGACAGUUCCUGACGCUGAGGCACGAAGGCCAGGGGAGCAAACGGG
rnacentral:rRNA from 1 species